ACCCCUAUAGGAACACAGGGAUCUGCCCCCCCCCCCCCCCCAAUAGGAUCACAGCAAUGGGGACCCCUAUAGGGACCCCUAUAAGGAUAUGGGGUUGGGACCCCCCCUUAAAGCCCCCAUAGGGAGAUGGAGGUGUGGACCCCCCCCCAUAAUUGGAUCCCUAUAGGAACACAGGGAUCUGACCCCCCCCAAUAGGAUCACAGGAAUGGGGACCCCCUUAAAGACCCCAUAAGGAUAUGGGGUUGGGACCCCCCCUUAUAAAGCCCCAUAGGGAUAUGAGUGUGUGGACCCCCCCUUUAGAGACCCCCAUUGGGACCCCCCCCAUAAUUUCACCCCUAUAGGAACUCAGGGAUCUGACCCCCCCCCCAAUAGGGUCAUAUGAAUGGGGCCCCCCUAUAGGGACCCCUAUAAGGAUAUGGGGUUGGGACCCCCCCUUAAAGCCCCCAUAGGGAGAUGGAGGUGUGGACCCCCCCCCAUAAUUGGACCCCUAUAGGGACCCCAUUGAGUCCCACCCCCCCCUUACAAUCCCAUAUAGAGAUAUGGGGUUGCAGCCCCCCCCAUAGGGACCCCCAUAGGGCCGUGGGGGGGGGUGAGGACCCCCCCCAAAUGGGGUCUGUGGGGUGGGGGCUCACAGCUCUGCUUUCUCUUUGUAGGGUCUGCCAAUGGACGGCAACGAAGACGAGAGAACCGGAGCGGAACCGGAGCGGAACGGGAGCAGAACCGGACCGGGAGCUGAACCGGAUCGGGAACAGAACCGGAUCGGGUCAGGAGCUGAACCGGAUUGGGAGCAGAACCGGAUUGGAUCGGGAGCAGAACCGGAUUGGGAGCUGAACCGGAGUGGAGUGGGAGCUGAACCCGACACGGA
rnacentral:lncRNA from 1 species